UGGCAUUAAAAUGGCAGAGAAGUUAGG
rnacentral:piRNA from 1 species